GUCACACACACAGUCACUUACACACAGUUACAGGCAGACAGUCAAAUACGCUGGCAAUCACACAGGCAGACAGUCACACACACAAUCACAGACAGUCACACAUACACACAACACAGUCACAGACAGUCACACACACACACAAUCACAGGCAGACAGUCACACACACACACCCACAAUCACAGGCAGACAGUCACACACAGUGACACAAACACACACAGAGUAACACAGACAAUCACAGGCAGACAGUCACACACACACAGUGACACACACACACACACAAUCACAGGCAGACAGUCAUACAUAGACAUAACACAAUCACAGUCACACACACACAAUCAGUCAGAAAGUCACACACACAGAGUCACACAGACAAUCACAAGCAGACAAUCACAAGCAGGCAAUCACAAGCAGGCAAUCACAGGCAGACAAUCACAGGCAGUCACACACACACAAACACACACACAAUCAGUCAGAGAGUCACACACACAGAGUCACACAGACAAUCACAGGCAGACAAUCACAGGCAGUCACACACACACACACAAGCAGACAAUCACAGACACAGUCAAAGACAGUCACAAUCACAGUUACACACACACAGCACACACUCUCUCACUUACAGUAACCAUGGGCUGGAGGAGGAGGGGAUUCAGUCCCUCCUGUGCUGUAUUUGGGGAAGCAGGGACUCCUUCCUGCUUCCCCUCUGUGUGCAGCAGUAUGAGGCUGCAUAUAGCUCCGCCCCCAUAUCCGGCCUGGCUCCGCCCCCAUGGCCAAUCUGGCUCCG